rnacentral:ncRNA from 1 species
AAAUUCCUAGGAAAAAAGAUAAAUCUUCCUAGAUGCUGAAGCAUCUUCGUCAGAUUUCCUAUUUUUCUACGAAAUUU